UACAGAGGUCUCAAGCGUUGUUCGGAUUCAUUGGGCGUAAAGGGUGCGUAGGUGGCGUCGUAAGUCGGGUGUGAAAUUUCGGAGCUUAACUCCGAAACUGCAUUCGAUACUGCGGUGCUUGAGGACUGGAGAGGAGACUGGAAUUUACGGUGUAGCAGUGAAAUGCGUAGAGAUCGUAAGGAAGACCAGUGGCGAAGGCGGGUCUCCGGACAGUUCCUGACACUGAGGCACGAAGGCCAGGGGAGCAAACGGG
rnacentral:rRNA from 1 species